rnacentral:rRNA from 1 species
GACGAACGCUGGCGGCGUGCUUAACACAUGCAAGUCGAACGGUGAAGCGCCUUCCUUUUUGGUGGGUGUGGAUGAGCGGCGAACGGGUGAGUAACACGUGAGUAACCUGCCCCCUUCUUCUGGAUAACCGCAUGAAAGUGUGGCUAAUACGGGAUAUUCUGGGUCUGUCGCAUGAUGGGUCUGGGAAAGAUAUUGUUUCGGUGGGGGAUGGGCUCGCGGCCUAUCAGCUUGUUGGUGGGGUGAGGGCCUACCAAGGCGGUGACGGGUAGCCGGCCUGAGAGGGUGGACGGUCACACUGGGACUGAGACACGGCCCAGACUCCUACGGGAGGCAGCAGUGGGGAAUAUUGCACAAUGGGCGCAAGCCUGAUGCAGCGACGCCGCGUGAGGGAUGGAGGCCUUCGGGUUGUGAACCUCUUUCGCCAGUGAAGCAGGCCUGCCUCGUUUGUGGGUGGGUUGACGGUAGCUGGAUAAGAAGCGCCGGCUAACUACGUG